rnacentral:rRNA from 1 species
AGUUUGAUCCUGGCUCAGAUUGAACGCUGGCGGCAUGCUUUACACAUGCAAGUCGAACGGCAGCGCGGGCGUUCGGCCUGGCGGCGAGUGGCGAACGGGUGAGUAAUAUAUCGGAACGUACCCAAGAGUGGGGGAUAACGUAGCGAAAGUUACGCUAAUACCGCAUACGAUCUAAGGAUGAAAGCAGGGGAUCGCAAGACCUUGUGCUCCUGGAGCGGCCGAUAUCUGAUUAGCUAGUUGGUGGGGUAAAGGCCCACCAAGGCAACGAUCAGUAGCUGGUCUGAGAGGACGACCAGCCACACUGGAACUGAGACACGGUCCAGACUCCUACGGGAGGCAGCAGUGGGAAUUUUGGACAAUGGGCGCAAGCCUGAUCCAGCAAUGCCGCGUGAGUGAAGAAGGCCUUCGGGUUGUAAAGCUCUUUUGUCAGGGAAGAAAAGGUUGUGGCUAAUAUCCACAACUGCUGACGGUACCUGAAGAAUAAGCACCGGCUAACUACGUG